CGACGUGAUGAGGCUGACCCUGCUCCGCUACUGACAUGUGAAACCGUGAUCCGAGACUCUUCAGGGCAACUGACGG
rnacentral:sRNA from 2 species